UACGUAGGGUGCAAGCGUUGUUCGGAAUUACUGGGCGUAAAGGGCGCGCAGGCGGCCCUUGAAGUCAGGCGUGAAAGCCCCGGGCUCAACCUGGGAGGUGCGCUUGAUACUCGAGGGCUUGAGUGCGGGAGAGGAGAGUGGAAUUUACGGUGUAGCGGUGAAAUGCGUAGAUAUCGUAAGGAAGACCAGUGGCGAAGGCGGGUCUCUGGACAGUUCCUGACGCUGAGGCACGAAGGCCAGGGGAGCAAACGGG
rnacentral:rRNA from 1 species